rnacentral:rRNA from 1 species
AACGCGAAGAACCUUACCUGGGCUCGAACGGCUAUGGACAAUCCUUGGAAACAGGGACUUCUCGCAAGAGACUGUAGUCGAGGUGCUGCAUGGCUGUCGUCAGCUCGUGUCGUGAGAUGUUGGGUUAAGUCCCGCAACGAGCGCAACCCUUGUCCUGUGUUGCCAUCAUUUAGUUGGGCACUCUCAGGAGACCGCCAGCGAUAAGCUGGAGGAAGGUGGGGAUGAUGUCAAGUCAUCAUGGCCUUUAUGUCCAGGGCUACACACGUGCUACAAUGGCCGGUACAAAGCGCUGCAAACUCGCAAGAGGGAGCUAAUCGCAAAAAACCGGUCUCAGUUCGGAUUGCAGUCUGCAACUCGACUGCAUGAAGCUGGAAUCGCUAGUAAUCGCGUAUCAGAACGACGCGGUGAAUACGUUCCCGGGCCUUGUACACACCGGAGUGC